GGGGUUCUGCACUCAGCGCAGAGUCUGCUUGUCCCUCUCCCUCAUAUUAAAAUUGGAACACAAUAGAGAAAAUUAGCAUGGUCUCUGUCCAAGGAUGAUAUGCAAAUUAGUGGAGCAUUCUAUAUUAGA
rnacentral:snRNA from 1 species